rnacentral:rRNA from 1 species
UACGAAGGGGGGCUAGCGUUGCUCGGAAUCACUGGGCGUAAAGCGCACGUAGGCGGACUCUUAAGUCGGUGGUGAAAUCCUGGAGCUCAACUCCAGAACUGCCUUCGAUACUGAGAGUCUCGAGUCCGGGAGAGGUGAGUGGAACUGCGAGUGUAGAGGUGAAAUUCGUAGAUAUUCGGAAGAACACCAGUGGCGAAGGCGGCUCACUGGACCGGCAUUGACGCUGAGGUGCGAAAGCGUGGGGGAGCAAACAGG